ACUGAAAAAUGGUAAGUGUUGUCUACUCAACCAUCACCAAGUGUUGGAUGCAAUGGCAAAACCCAAAAAAAUAAUAGGGCUUGAGCUUUGAAGACAACAUCGUUGGAAGGGAUAGUCAUGAACUCCGAAUAUGGACCAUAAAAUGAAUAUAAAAAAAUAAAAAAUUGAUUUGAAUGAUUCACAUAUGUUCAUUAGUUCCAUUGCAGAAAAAAAUGAAAGACCCGAUGAAUCAGAACACUGUCAAGUGUUCAAUCAGGAAUGGGAGACUGGUCCAGUGUAUACCAUCGAACCAGUUGCAAACCAGUGAACAACUGAUUAAACUGGGUUUGAUCUAAGCUUCAAUCAAGGUAGAUUCAGAUUUUAUGUAGCAGUUCAAUGUUAUAGCCAGUUGGCCCAGUUCAACCCUCAUCACCAGUACACGAUAUUGCCAGAAAAAAGGUCCAACCCACCAUACAGGCAUAUAUAUUAUCAGCUUAUAUAAUAGAAAUAGCUUGAAACGCCAAUCCAACUUACCUAUAAAUUUGUAUA